GACGAACGCUGGCGGCGCGCCUAACACAUGCAGGUCGAACGGAGCUGAGAGAAGCUUGCUUUUCUUAGCUUAGUGGCGAACGGGUGAGUAACGCGUGAGUAACCUGCCCUGGAGUGGGGGACAACAGUUGGAAACGACUGCUAAUACCGCAUAAGCCCACGAUCCGGCAUCGGAUUGAGGGAAAAGGAUUUAUUCGCUUCAGGAUGGACUCGCGUCCAAUUAGCUAGUUGGUGAGGUAACGGCCCACCAAGGCGACGAUUGGUAGCCGGACUGAGAGGUUGAACGGCCACAUUGGGACUGAGACACGGCCCAGACUCCUACGGGAAGCAGCAGUGGGGGAUAUUGCACAAUGGGGGAAACCCUGAUGCAGCGACGCCGCGUGGAGGAAGAAGGUUUUCGGAUUGUAAACUCCUGUCGUUAGGGACGAUAAUGACGGUACCUAACAAGAAAGCACCGGCUAACUACGUG
rnacentral:rRNA from 1 species